rnacentral:lncRNA from 1 species
AAAAACUUAUUUUAUACUUAAUAGAAGUAUAAUAUUAACUCUUAAGUGUUUGUUUAAUCUACCGUUUUGACGCAAAAUGUAUUCUACGAAACUUUUUUCAACAAUCCAACCGUCAAAAUUAUUUGUACACAUUCCGAGAUUGCAUACGUAAAAAAUCAUAAAAAAUAAAGAUUCAGAGAUUACGUAACGGAACAAAAGUUUUCGACGGUUAUAAAUGAAAAAUCACAAUUUAACGGUUAUUUUAGCUCCGAUUUUGAUGAUUUUUUACAGAUACACUCCUCGACCCUAUAAGAAUGUAAUGAAUAAAUUUGAUCUUUAAUUUAAAAUAUUUACACUAGUGGAUACCACAAAAACUUAUUUUAUACUUGAUAGAAGUAUAAUAUUAACUCUAAGUGUUUGUUUAAUCUACUGUUUUGACGCAAUAUGCAUUCUACGAAACAUUUUUCAACGAUCCAACUGUCAAACUUAUUUGUACACAUUCCGAGAUCGCAUACGUAAAAAAAUGUAAAAAACAAACAUUCAGAGAUUACGUAACGGAACAAAAGGUUUCGACGGUUAUAAACGAAAAAUCACAAUUUAACGGUUAUUUUAGCUCUGAUUUUGAUGAUUUUUUACAGAUACACUCCUCGACCCUAUAAGAAUGUAAUGAAUAAAUUUGAUCUUUAAUUUAAAGUAUUUACACUAGUGGAUACCACAAAAUCUUUUUUUAUACUUAAUAGAAGUAUAAUAUUAACUUUAAGUGUUUGUUUAAUCUACUAUUAUGACGCAAUAUGCAUUCUACGA